GACGACGACGAUGAUAACAACGACAAUGAUGUGGCGAAAGAGGAGUAGAGCUCGAAGAUGAGGAGUAGAGCUAAAAGCAUCUGAUCGAGGUUUUUUCAAGGUCUUGAACAAUCCGAAAAAAGAAAAAAUCAAUAGAAGCACGAUUUUAGAACAAGAAAUUGAAGGUGAAAUAUUGAAAAUUGUAGAUUAAAGAUGAAUAAUAUAGUUGGACCUGAGACUGAGCUUCAAUGGAAGCUCCUCUUGCUCCAACACCAGAGAAAACACCAGCGAGAAAGGAGAAAAUAAAUAUGAUUUGAUUUUUUGGCAGAUUUGGUUUUUUUUGGCAGAUUUGGUUUUUUGGCAGACAUGGAAAUAUUUGGUUUUAUGGCAGAUCUGGGCAGAUCUGAUUUUCCUCUCUUAAAUCCAUAGUACAAGGACAAUAUAGGUAUUUAACACACACAAAUAAACUAAAAAACAACUAUUAAAUUAAAAAAAAUUGAUAGCUGUCAAUUUUUGGAUUUUUUUUGGGUGUGUUUAUAGUUUUUAAACGGUGUAGGGUUUCUUUAUAAAACCAUGUCUAAGAUUGGGUAUAUAACUAAAUUUCUAUU
rnacentral:lncRNA from 1 species